rnacentral:misc_RNA from 1 species
UAACCCUCAAGCACUGCUUGGUGUUGGGCGCCUGUCCCCGGUUACGGGGACUCGCCUCAAAUGCAUUGGCAGCCGGCACGUUGGCCCCGAGCGCAGCAGACACGCGCGCGGCGUCUGGCGGUGCCUGGCUCUCCAGGAAGCCUCUCCACCCAA